rnacentral:rRNA from 1 species
AUUGAACGCUGGCGGCGUGCUUAACACAUGCAAGUCGUGCGGUAACAGGCGUAGCAAUACGUGCUGACGAGCGGCGAACGGGUGCGUAAUACAUGGGAAUCUGCCCUUUAGUGGGGAAUAACCCGGCGAAAGCCGGGCUAAUGCCGCAUAAGAUCUUCGGAUGAAAGCGGGGGAUCGUAAGACCUCGCGCUGAUGGAUGAGCCCAUGUCGGAUUAGCAGUUGGUGAGGUAAAGGCUCACCAAGGCGACGAUCCGUAGCUGGUCUGAGAGGACGGCCAGCCACACUGGGACUGAGACACGGCCCAGACUCCUACGGGAGGCAGCAGUGGGGAAUAUUGGACAAGUGGGGAAACCCUGAUCCAGCGACGCCGCGUGUGUGAAGAAGGCC